rnacentral:rRNA from 1 species
GACGAACGCUGGCGGCGUGCUUAACACAUGCAAGUCGAACGGAAAGGCCCUGCUUUUGUGGGGUGCUCGAGUGGCGAACGGGUGAGUAACACGUGAGUAACCUGCCCUUGACUUUGGGAUAACUUCAGGAAACUGGGGCUAAUACCGGAUAGGAGCUCCUGCUGCAUGGUGGGGGUUGGAAAGUUUCGGCGGUUGGGGAUGGACUCGCGGCUUAUCAGCUUGUUGGUGGGGUAGUGGCUUACCAAGGCUUUGACGGGUAGCCGGCCUGAGAGGGUGACCGGCCACAUUGUGACUGAGAUACGGCCCAGACUCCUACGGGAGGCAGCAGUGGGGAAUAUUGCACAAUGGGCGGAAGCCUGAUGCAGCAACGCCGCGUGCGGGAUGACGGCCUUCGGGUUGUAAACCGCUUUCGCCUGUGACGAAGCGUGAGUGACGGUAAUGGGUAAAGAAGCACCGGCUAACUACGUG